UCGGCGCCCGUGCCCAGCUCGAGCGAUGGUUGAUCUGUGCUGUAAGCUCGAUGCCGAGUGCCGAGCUCGAACUCCCACGGCCAUGCACACUCGAGCGAUGGAGCCAUCGUAUCGGUUGGGUUAGCCCGACCGUGAUCGUGUUCGGUGUUCCGGCCGUCCGGGUCGUUGGGACGGUGGCUGCUGGCUGCAGUAUAAAUUAUAAAAGGCCACCGGCAGAGCGACCGCCUCCUCCCCCUCCCUCUCCAAGCACAGGCCACGCACCCCGAUCCACCACAGCUCUAGCCUCAAGCCGCCUCCACCACCCCACCCUCACCGCCUACCUCAGCGCCGGCGCGGGCCGCACCGCACACGUACAACGCACACCGCCACUCUUCGUGCGUGCUCAUCACGUACACGUCCCGCUAGCCGCGUCGCGGACGUACGCCGCCACGCCGACCAUGCCGGCCGCCGCCGCCGCCGCCGCACGGAAGAAGAAGGCCGCCGCGCCGAGCGGUAGGUCGUUCGUGCCGAAGCGCGGGCAGGUGCUGAGGAGGGUGUUCGCGAGCCUCUUCUCCUGGUCCUGGGCGCCGGCGCGCCGCAGGCUGCUGCAGUUCUGGAGGCGCCACAACCGCUUCCCUCGGGGCCGGCGCGGGAACCGCGUCCCGGCGGGCGGCGGCCACGUCGAGCCGGAGCCCGACGUCGCGGCGGCCCGCCGCGCUGGCGGCCGCGCGCACCACCACUAACUAUAUAUCCUCCGAAUCGAUCCCACUCCCACCUAGUGCUUACUAAACUAAGGUCAAAUUCAGAUUGUCUAUGAAGAAAAAUUCCCAAGCUCAGGUCGUCUCGCCCCGGCCGCGCCGGGUGCUUGACGGAGGAGUCGGUCAACGUGUCAACUAGCCAGCGCAUCGUUGCUCGCGGCGCCUCUCUCUCUCUCGCUCUACCCCUGUGGCUGGGUGCUGUACUAGUCAUCUUAUUAUUGUUUCAUUUUUUAUUUCUUCAUUGGUCUUGUAUAGCUUGGGUACUCAGUCGUCGUCGUGGCAACACGUCAAUGACGUCAUGGUGUCAUGAAGAAGAAGAAGUGCAUCAUGACGCGUGUAUGCUCGGCUCCUGUUAGCGGCAAAUUAAGCUUGUGCUCAGCACCACUAGUAGUAGUCAAAUUGUGCUGAGCAAGUGGUCGUUCGUUCUGGAUGGACGCAGGUUCAUCUAUUCCGUCAUGAUCUACAAUAAAAAGGUGUCAAAUUGUUGUAUAUAUUCCGUCAGUAAAACGUUGACCAAACAUGUACUCAAUCGGUUCAACUGCCCAA